rnacentral:tRNA from 1 species
GGGGCGGUAGCUCAGCUGGUUAGAGCAGAGGACUCAUAAUCCUUGGGUCGUGGGUUCGAGCCCCACCCGCCCCA